rnacentral:siRNA from 1 species
GGCGGUAACCCUUCUGAGCUAAGUAAGCUGGGGGUGGGUGGAGCCAAGUAGAGGAGGUUUGUAGUGCGCAUCUUGUAGGCAAGGUGUUAAGCACUUUAGUGCGAGACCCUGCCACAAGACGCUAGCUACAGCUCCCUAGGGUGUGAUGAGUGCUUUAGCUGGCACUCAUCCACUACCCAGCCCACCUACCCUUGGGACAAGGGCUGUGCUACCUCUGCGCAGUCCCUGUCGGUUUGUAUAUCACUCCUGAGCUA